GUGCAAGAUAAGUUUAUCACUUGGCAGAUGACUUUGUGUGUUUGCACAUGCGCACAUGCACGGACGUAACGUGCAUGUUGAAUUUGGCAAGGUAAAAGAUUGAACAUAGGUGUUUGAGGUGUCAUAGAUAGAGAACAGGAAGAUGAAUAUGAUGUGAGCAAUGAAAUAGAACAAGCAUGGACUAGCCAUUGGACUUGAACAAUAAUAAGCCUAGUCACCUAGGAUUUGGUUGGAUAUACUCUAAGAGAAAGAAAGUCAUAGCCAGAGAUAAUUAGUUACAUUUUGAGUUGACAAGUUUUUGAACCUUGUGAUUUGUCAAUUGAUUCAGACUGGUGCAUUGAUGGAGAAGAGGAAGAUGAUCUGGUUUUGGCGGAACAUGAUGUGAAGAAAAGUAUAUGAUUGUUCUUGAUAGGGUAGAACCAUAUAAAAACUGUGUCUGUCAGUUUCUGCAUCUUAUAAGUACUAAAACUCAUUUUGUGUAUUUUGGUGUUGUCUUUAGUUAUAUGAUUUGUCCACAUUGGUGAAUAAUACCUUGAGAAUA